rnacentral:rRNA from 1 species
CGGGGUGCAGCAGGCGCGAAACCUCCGCAAUGCGCGAAAGCGUGACGGGGUUACCCCGAGUGCUGUCCGUGAGGAUAGCUUUUCCUUACCGUAAGGAAGUGGGGGAAUAAAGGGGGGGCAAGUCUGGUGUCAGCCGCCGCGGUAAUACCAGCCCCCUGAGUGAUAGGGACGACUAUUUAGCCUAAAGCGUCCGUAGCCGGCUUAGCUAGUCUUUCGUUAAAUCUGGCGACUUAAUCGUCAGGCCGCGGAAGAUACUGCUAGGCUAGAGGGCGGGAGAGGUUGACGGUAGUCCCGGGGUAGGGGUGAAAUCCUAUAAUCCCGGGAGGACCACCAGUGGCGAAGGCGGUCAACUAGAACGCGCCUGACGGUGAGGGACGAAAGCUGGGGGAGCGAACCGGAUUAGACACCCGGGUAGUCCCAGCUGUAAACGAUGCGGGCUAGGUGUUGGAACAGCCACGUGCUGCUCCAGUGCCGCAGAGAAGUUGUUAAGCCCGCCGCUUGGGAAGUACGGCCGCAAGGCUGAAACUUAAAGGAAUUGGCGGGGGAGCAC